rnacentral:misc_RNA from 1 species
GAGGGCGUCUCUUCUUCGUUGGCUGCUGAUCAGCUCGCUGCUUCAAGGAGGCAAGAUUAAACUAUCAAUUGCUGUACCCUUUUAUCUAUAUUCCUCGUUUGAUCUUUGUAAUGGGUUUUCAUUUAAUAUUUUGUUCUUCAGUUUUCUCAAUAAUUAUGUGAAAUUCUUUACCGAGUUGUUAGCUAUUAUUAGGUUAUUUUCUUAAUGAAUCCGUUUGAUAUGGCUAUAUUUUCUCAAUGCUUUUAAUGGGGUCACUAGUUUGAUGUUUAGAAUUAUUAAGACAGUAAAUUCUUGGAAUACAAUAGCGUUUUUGAGCCCUAGUUUUCUGAUGUUAACUAGGUCAGAUUUCUAAGCCAGGAAAUGAUUAUUAAGAUUUAGGUCAGAUUUCUAAGCCAGGAAAUGAUUAUUAAGAUUUAUUUCAACUUUACUAAUCUGAAAUUCUCGCUUUGCUCCAUUGUCAUAGAGUUUUAGACCAUAUGGAUUUGGAUGGUUGAACUUUGAAGUUAUUUCUUGUGAUUUAAAGCAAAGUUGAUCUUGCUUUAAGGUGUGGUUUGUAAAAUGGUUCUUUUAUUCUUUUUUUUUUUUUUUAUAACUUAUUCUAAUUAAAUAAAAAAAGAGGAGGGGAUAGUAGUCACAGAUAUUUAAUUGUAUCUCUAAUCUUCUUCACCCCCCCCCGCACGUUGAUAACUAGAAUGAAAAAAAAGGGAAUGUCAACGCAUCUGGGAAAAAACGAUUGAUCUCUAUCAAUAGACCUGCUAAAGACCCAAACCAUAGAGUACUUAUUACUGGUGCUACAGAUAAAUAUGUUUUUAGAUCUCGCAUUUUAAAUCCUCCUUCUUUAUUGUUAUUGUAAUAAAUAAUGUUUAUUGUUAUUGUAAUACAUAAUGAUAAUACAUAUAAUCAGAUGUAUAUGUAAUUUAAUCAGAUGUAUAUGUAAUUAAAGGCCAUUUACAUUUGUUUUGUACGCGGAAUCUCUAAUUCAAAUCAAAAUGUACAACAAUUUGAUAGAUAAGAUUUUCCUUUUCUUAAACUUAAAAAAAGAAAAUAUGUCCAUUUUUCCAAGUUUUCGCGAAAUUUACGUAAGUUUAUUAUUUUAUUAUUAUAUAAUAUAAGUUUAUUAUUAUAUAAUAUAUGAUAUGAGACCAAAAAGAAAAAAUGACAAUGUAUAUCAAUGGAGAAAAUGAAAUAAGUAUGUGGAAAACAAAACGGGUAUUCUUUACAAUAACAUUGUAA